rnacentral:rRNA from 1 species
CCCUUAGAUGUUCUGGGCCGCACGCGCGCUACGCUGAUGCAUUCAACGAGUCUAAAACCUGCUCUGAUAGGGGUGGGUAAUCUUUUGAAUGUGCAUCGUGAUUGGGAUAGAUGAUUGAAAUUUUUCAUCUUCAACGAGGAAUGCCUAGUAAACGCAAGUCAUCAGCUUGCAUUGAUUACGUCCCUGCCCUUUGUACACACCGCCCGUCGCUCCUACCGAUUGAAUGAUCCGAUGAAUAUCAUGGAUUGAGGAUGCAAGUAGGUUCACCUAUCUUCAUCUUCGAGAAGUGAAGUAAAUCUUAUCAUUUAGAGGAAGGAGAAGUCGUAACA